rnacentral:lncRNA from 1 species
GCAGAAAACAAUCUGUGGAUCUACACAAGGAACAGAAUACAUGAAAAACCAGGGUCAGGAUAAGUGUGUGUUACUGCCAGAUGACUCUUCAACACCUCCUUCUUUCCUACUCUAAGAAAAUCUGACUGAUUAUCAAAAGCGAUUUUGAGCAUCCCUCCAGUGAAUGUUCGGGGUUCAUCUUUAAAGGUGACAUCUGGAGAGGAGGACUCGAAGUAUUCUGCAAUCCCUUAUCUCAACACCACAAUGAAACCCAUGGACAACCACACUGAAUACUCAGGUGCUUCAUAUCCUUUACAUCCUUUAGCAUAGAAUGAAAGUUUUGUCUGGCAGAUGAGACAGUUACUUUUCAUUGAGAAAUUAAUCAGGGCAUUUAAAAAUGAGGACAGAGUGAGUAAGAAGCUCUGGGAGAUUUAGGAUGUCUGGAUAAAUUGAACUUUCCAAUUGUCAGAAUUCAAUCACAUGAAUCUAGUUCAUAA